UACGUAGGGUGCAAGCGUUAUCCGGAAUUAUUGGGCGUAAAGAGCUCGUAGGCGGUUUGUCGCGUCUGCUGUGAAAACCCGAGGCUCAACCUCGGGCCUGCAGUGGGUACGGGCAGACUAGAGUGCGGUAGGGGAGAGUGGAAUUCCUGGUGUAGCGGUGAAAUGUGUAGAGAUCGGGAGGAACACCGGUGGCGAAGGCGGGUCUCUGGGCAUCUCCUGACGCUGAGGCGCGAAAGCGUGGGGAGCAAACGGG
rnacentral:rRNA from 1 species